rnacentral:lncRNA from 1 species
AUACAUAUAUAGUGAUAUCAACAAAAUAAUAUCGUUUAUCUUUUUGAAACGUGCUUUCUAAACGUAAUCAAUAGAAUUAUCGUAUGCACUCUCUAACAGAAUCUUGCAUUAAUUUGUACCAAAGAAUUGCGGUUUUUACCAUUACUUCUAAUUCUUUUUAUUAUAUUAAUACAAAAAAAAAGUACAAUCUAUAAGUGAUGGAAAAGAAAAAUCAAGAAAAACCAAAGAAGAUUGAUGGGAUUGAUCGGUGGAGCACGUCCAACCCAGAGAAUCUAUGCGAUGUGCUCAUGCUUCUAGCAUUCUCUCAAUGCAGGAUUGGACUUCCAAAUACUAUAUUUAGCGGUUUGGGAUGUUCCAAAUUCUGGUAAUCGAACACGACCAACCAUUCUGAUGUUUGACCCGAUUUUCUAUCUUUUCCAAUCCGAUAAUUUUUCCACUUGUUUUUUUUUUUUUUUUUUUUAAUUAUAGAAUCGAAGUUUGCAUAGUAUAGAUUUCCGUCGCAGUCGUAAGUCAUUUAACGUCGUAUGAGCACAUAUAUUUUAGUCCGCAUACUGCAGUGCUAGUGGGAGAAUUUUCUAUUAAAAUCCAAAUUAAACAAUACGUAAUUGCGAUCGAAAAUUGCCAUUUUGAUACACAACAAACAACCUAUUAUUUUUCUGUUAAAUAAUUAUAUUCAGCAAACCGUUCAUUUCCUUUCGUAUGCCAUCACGACAGACGUUUGGUAUCGUUGAUGGUUCUUAUUAAAAUUAUUAGUUAGGGACGUACGGGGAAGAAGAAGAUCGUUUUAACUAGUUGAUGAAUGGAAAUGCUGUUUAAAACUAGUAUCUUCAUAAAGUUCACUUUAAUUUAGAAGUAUUAGCCAUUCGGAGGUUAAGUUUAAAUUAGUAUCUUUCCCGAGACGCUUUUAAAUCACCAGCUACUCGGUGAGAUUCUGUUUAGAGUUAGUAAAUACUCUGUAGCGCAAUUGAUAAUAGUAUAUAUGCUCUCGGAGAAAGGUGGCUUAAACUAUUAUCUAUCGUUGAGUUAUAGUUAAGUUUGUUUAAUUUGCGACCAGAUUUUCGGGGCGAGGGUCGGUGGUAUGGGCUUUAAAUUCGACAAGAUCGCAACGGUACUAAACGUAUGUGGCUAGUCCCGCAUCUAGCCUUUCAUCAACAUCCCGCUCUACAACAUCCGUUACUAUAGCAACGGGACAACGACUAGGAUUAAUUCCAUCUAGCCGAGAGAGAGGGGAGAGUGUCUUAUCACUGUUGCCGGUCCUAGAUUAACUAACUCGCCGGGGGCUCUUCCGGUCUGACUGCCGGGCGGGGGUCUAGACGACGGGUCGUCAAUUUGCCCGUCCUUCUUCCGACCGUAAAUCCGAGUCGAGCGCACGCUCGUCAAUUACGAGACACGUGACCGAUCUCCUGUAGCCAAGUCGCCUGUUUCCAGCCUUUUUUCCAUGUGUGUGCCUCUCUGCGGAGUUCAGGCAGUCGGUUUAAUACGUGAGCAUCUCAUUUCGGAGAUGGAAUAUUGGUAAGGGAGAAAAUCAUCCCUCCUCCAACUUCUCGAGUCUCACUCUGAAUAUCUAAUCAGCUUCGCCGGUUGUAAAUUUUCUAUCCCCCCCUUAUCUAGGACCUACCUGGCAAAAUGUUAGCUAUCGUUCUUGCCGGUUUCUCCUCUUCGUGGCAUAUAUAUAUAUAUAUUUUUUUUAACCUACUCGCUAAAUUAACUCCCCCUUUGGAAAUGAUAAAUUGCUCUUGGGAUAGAAGUAGCCGUGGGCAUUUUGGAUUUCGUGACUGCUUGAUUUUCAUACGCUCCAAGCCCAGUAGGAAUGAAAAAUGCGAUGUUUUUUGUUCUGCUUAAUCACUUAUUAGGAAAAAUAUAAUGCACGGUUAAUACGAAUGGUCGAAUCGCGUUGUUAUUAUUAUU